UACGGAGGGUGCGAGCGUUGUCCGGAAUCACUGGGCGUAAAGGGCGCGUAGGCGGCCUGAUAAGUAGGGGGUGAAAUCCUGCGGCUUAACCGCAGGGCUGCCUUCUAAACUGUCAGGCUGGAGCACAGUAGAGGCAGGUGGAAUUCCCGGUGUAGCGGUGAAAUGCGCAGAUAUCGGGAGGAACACCAAUUGCGAAGGCAGCUCGCUGGGACGUCACUGACGCUGAGACGCGAAAGCGUGGGGGAGCAAACAGG
rnacentral:rRNA from 1 species